AACUGACUCACAUUUCUGGUAAGUUAUGGAGUUGAACUUGAAAUCGUUUCUUUUAUUUGCUUCUACAGUAUUUAAAAGGGACAGGCAAAAAGAUAAACUUCUGUUUGUGAUUAAAACAGGGAUUGUCCAGUUUAGCUUUGCCUUAUUCAGAACCUAACACAGUACCUGACAUGUGGUAAAUAACAAAUGUGAACAAAUAAACUGGGGAUUAUCUAGGGAUACACAGGGUCCAAGUUUAAAUUUUUAUUUUAAUUUUAAUACUGGGAAUUGAACCCAGGGACUCCUGUGCAUUUGUAUGCUAGGCAAAUGCUGUCCAAUUGAAGUAUAUGGUUGAGUUGAAACACUGUUACUCAAUGUUGUGGAGACUUCCAUUUAUAGUAGCAAGGCUUUGAGUUAUAGAUGAGCUCAGUUCUGUAAAAGUGGAUGAAGAGGGCUUUACAUCAGUCCAGGAGUUCUCAUUUUAAGUGGUUUGGUUCAUUUAUGACAGAAGUUAGCAAUGAGUUAUAAAUGUACCUAUAUAAUGUGAUAUUAAGGGGUGGGUAGUAGAAUGUGCUUGUUUAUAAUAAGUCUCAGUAAGAUUUCUUCUACUUAUCUUCUUUUGGAUACUGUUCUAUUGCUUUAAAUAACCUGUGGCAGAGUUCCUUCUCUUGCUAACUGUUGUAAUGCAUUUGGCUACUUAAUACUUGCUUUCUUUUCCCAAGAUCCCCAGAGACAACAGCAUUUUGGUGACACUCCAACCAUACUGAGGAUGUUGGAUUUCAUUGAAAGAUUUUCUAUAAAUAGUUUGUCCCAGGAUUGGGACAGGCUGAUUGGCCUCAUCCCCCUUACCCAAACCUGCCAUUGUUUUGAAGUCAUUUCAGAGCCUUCCAUAAUCUGGAUCUGUCUACCUUUUCACUUCAUCUCAAGUUAUCAGAACCUCCCUAACACCCCCGUCUUCUAUGAUACAAAUUAAGGGUGUAUCUUUCAUCCUACCAACAGGGAAAACUUUUUAGAAAGCCCACAUAUUUUCUCUUUUUAAGUAUAUGUUUUCACAUUUUCUUUAUUCAUUAAUCUGUUUUCUUGAGCAGAUACUUAAAGAGAGGCUAGUAGUAUAAAGCUGUCUAUGCCUAUUCCUUCCAGUUGCACCAAUGCAUUUUGUUUUUUAAUUGUUUCCAAAUUAUCUCCCUUCUCUUUGUACUGUGGCCCUGAAUUGUACCAACCAGUAGUUAACAUAAAGAAGCCCCUAAAGGAGUUUCGGAGUUUCUUUUUCCUUCCACUUUUUUUUUUUUUUUUUGGUACUGAGGAUUGAACCCAGCGGUGCUUAACCACUGAGCCACAUCCCC
rnacentral:lncRNA from 1 species